ACCUGGCGUUAGAGGAGCAGCUCUGCGGGGGAAGAUCCAGGCUCCAGGAGGCACUGGGAGGCUAUUGCAGCAGGAAUUCGGCCUGGAAUUGCGGGCUGUAGGUAGAAUUCAUCCAAACCUGCAAAGCUGAAACCGGAACCCAAACCUGGGCCCCACGCAGAGAACAAUCUUUGUGCUGCCCUGUCGGCCAAAGCCGCUGCCCUGAGAGAUCUUGGCAGCCUGAGGGAGGGCAUUCUCUGCAUCCCAGCAACCUCCAUCUCCCAAGGGGACAAUCCAAGUCCCACCCAAUUCCUUUUGCCUUUCCCCAGGGACACUGACCCUUAUUUGGUCCUGCUCUCCCACGGUUCAUUUUGGGGGAUGAGUUUGUGCUGGUUUAGGUUCCACAACUCCACCCACAGCUGGAGGUGAAUUGUGCACAAGCCAGUCCCCCAUUCCCUAUCCAGGCUGUGAGUGCUCGUGCCCUUGGCACAGUUGGCUCUGGCUGGGCAGGAGCUGAGAGCAGGACACGGGGCAGAGUGGAUCAGCUGCCCAGGGAACCUCCAGGAGAUGAAGCUACGGGAUCCUCGUUCCAAUCAAGGGAACACAUUCUGUCUCUGGCAGGAGCCGGGAGCCAAAGCAGAUCCCUCCUGGCCAGGCUGGGGGGCAGCAGUUGGAUCCACUCUGGGGGAAAGCCCCUGUGCCUGCCAGGAGCUCUGACUCUGUUUGUCCUGCCAGCUCCUGACCAGUGUCAGGGCCACUGGGAGGGAUUCAGAAUCCAAAGAAACCCCAAAUCCUACCGCGGGAUUCAAUCAAAGGAAGAAAGCCAUUACUGUCAUAAAAAGCUUAAAAAGCUGUUAAAAAUUCUAGGACAGCAAUA